rnacentral:misc_RNA from 1 species
AAAUAAAGAGAAAAGGUUCAAAACUUGUAAAUGAGAUUUUUCAAUUCAACAUUACCCUUUAUGGGAUCACUGUUCGUUUGAACCGCUUUAACUCCCGAUUGCUUAAGCAAAGGAAAGAAACUUCACAUUUUGAUAAGGAAACUUCUUCGUAGAUAAGCUUCAUAUAAAUAUACAAGAAAGCCUUAUAGAAGAAAGUUCUACAAGCGCUUAUAGAUUGAUACAAAAUGGUGGGCCUGGGAGGACUUGAACCUCCGACCUCACGCUUAUCAAGCGCGCGCUCUAACCAACUGAGCUACAAGCCCUCCGGGAUAAACCGGAAAACCUUCCCCGGCAUUAUCUUACGGAAAAGCUUUUUUAAAGCUCUUUUUCCUUAAAGCCCCUUUUCUUGCUGAAAGCCUAAGGGAGGGCUUUUAAAGAGACCGCCAGAAGGCUUGGGAUCAUCAUCUGAAGAAAAAGAGCUUUCCUUAAAGCUUUUGAUGAGAGCUUACUUGCGUAGACCGCCAGAAGGCUUGGGAUCAUCAUCUGAAGA